GAGAGUUAUCAAAAAUAGUACUUCUAGUCCUAGGUCGUUGUGAGCGUUGGAAGGGACACACGUAGCCACCCUCACACCCAGUCACACACUUGAGGCCCUUAAUGGUUUGUCGUUGGACUAGAAGCUCUCUCGGACUCUGGUCACCUACCCCAGAGAAGAUCGCAACUGGCUCUCUUCUGUUUCUUAAGCUUUGAGCCUCGCACAACCUAGCAAGGACUGGUGCUGGCAGGACCACGGGCUUCUCACCUCAUGGGCCCAGGCAGGACGAAGCGGCUUCCUCAGCCAUACAAGCACGGAUGCCCUAGCUCAGUUUUGAACUUGGGUUUGUAUUCCAAAGGAAGCCUGAGGCAGGAAGAUUGGAAAUUCAAAGGCCAGCUUAAGCUACAUACCAAGACCCUGUGUCAAACAAACAAACAAACACCAGAAAAGUCUAACUGAGCCUCACAUUCAGGUCUGGUGUGGAUGGCUAUUUCACGUAUGUUCUCUUGGCUCAUUGCAAGCCUAGAACCGCAGAGAGGGCAUAUCUUCUUAACACGGUAGGCCAUGAUAGGCAAGAACUGGUGAGACCAUUUCCUAACGUCUCCUUGCCCGGCUGCCUGAUGUCAUGAGUGGGUUCCCCAAGUGACACUGCUUAAGCCAGGACAAACCAUCUGUUCUCCCAGAGGAGUAUUUAAGAGAACAGUGGGAGUCUGGGGGCUCCCCCUGACAGACCUGUGGGGUUCUCCCAGCCUUCGAGGUUGGUGGGGUGGCAGUGGACAUCACAGACUCAGGAACCAGAGCUACGCAGUGAGACCUCAUCUCAAAAACCCAAGCAAGCAAGCGAACAAAAAUAUGAAUACUAAAUAAGGUAGAGGGCUAUCGGGGAAGACAUCCAGUGUUGACCUCUAGCCUCCACACAGACACACUGUGUGCAACUGCAUAUGUAAGCCUACCACACGAAGGAAGGAAGGAAGGAAGGAAGGAAGGAAGGAAGGAAGGAAAGAAGGAAAGAAGGAAAGAAGGAAAGAAGGAAAGAAGGAAAGAAGGAAAGAAGGAAAGAAGGAAGGAGAAGGGGAGGGAGGGAAGGAAAUUAGGAAGUUAGGAAGGAAAGAAGGAAGGAAGGAAGGAAGGAGAUUGGGAGAGAAAGAGAAGCACCAAAGGAGGGAAGGAAGGAGAAGUUAGGAAGGAGGGAAGGAAGGAGAGAGGGAGAGAGGAAAGGAAAGAAGGAAGGAAGGAAGGGCUUGACAGUUUGGAAAACUGAGUUCAAGGGGGGAUGGAUUUUUCUAAGUUACCUGACUCUGGAUUCCACACUGCCCUCCAGAUCAAUAACUCACUUUUAAUAAGCUACUUGAGUUUAAACUCAUCUCACCAAUCUGCUCUUGCAUGAGAGUGAAUGAAAUCAGCAAAUGUUCUGCUCUGUUCUUCACGGCUCUAUGCCUCCGGGCCUUUCUGCACCUCUCUGCAUCUGUACACUCCCUGAGGGCACAGAUUUCCUCCCUGCAUCCUACAUCCCCUUGGAUCUCAGUAGCAAUGCCCAUGUGAUCCCACAGAGCCCCUGCUACAACGAUGGCUCCUGUGCUGAAGCCUCCUCAGAUGCCAUCCUUCCACUCCUCACAGGCCUCCUGGGAAUGAGGCAUAUUCAUUUCUGUGGACAGAUGUGGCAGCUGAGGGUCAGGUAGUUGAAGUAAUUAAAGUCCCCUAGUGAGACAGAAGCAGUGUCAAGUCCUACCUCUGCCUGUCUGAUUCAGAAGUACAUGUGGUGGGUCACUGUGUCACCCUGCUUCAAAGAGCAAUUGUUAAUAAUCACGAUGAAUGGGUGAGACAUUGUACAGCUGAGUCAGCCAGCAGCCAGACCUACGCUUGUGAUUUGGUCACCUCUCCUGUCAUCUGACAUCCCCUGCGUGAAUUCUCUAGUCAGACUCCCCUGCCUCUGCAUCCUGGAGUCCGGCUGCCCUCCUGUGCCAAAAUCCACUUCCUCCAUUCUGACCUGCCUUCUUCUGCCUGGGCAAGGAGAGGCAGAAAGACUUGGUGCUGGCUGAGUCUGCAGCGGGGACUCUGGUCACUUUGUCAGCUGAUAGAGACAGCGAGUGGGUGGCUCAGAGAGCCCAUGGGACACAGCCCUUGUUUUGAAACCACCAUUGGUUCCAGGAGGGAAAAUUCCUUACUGCCCACCUUGGGAGGGCUGGGCUGCCCGAGGGCUGUCCGCCUUCACAGGAAUGGAGAAGACUGGGGGCAGGACUCGGGUGUGGCCAUAAACUUUUCCAGUCCCUUCCCUUCUUUGGGUCUGUAACAUCUCUGUGAUUGAUCACCUGGUGCACUGGAGUUCUCUGCUCAAUUUUGUAUGUGUGACCCCAUUUUUGAGCCUCACAGCAGUGCUUUGCCGGUAGGUGUGGACAGGGAGGCAGCUUAGCUCGGCGACAGGCCAGGUUGUAAGCCAAGCCAGGGUUGUAAAGUCAUCAGAUCUGUCUUCAGAUCCCAACCUGUGACGCUGGGAAAUUGACUCAACCUCCCUGGAUCUGGACUCCCUCCCAUCUGCAACAAGAAGAUCCGUUCCUUCUUUGAGGGAUGAUAUGGGAAAUGGGUACUGUAAGUUAAGUUUCUAAGAACCCUAGCAGUCAACACUUUAGAGCUAGUUAGCAUACAAAGCUAGUCCUUUGUAUGUAGCCUCUUGGCUGACGGAUACAGGGCUGAGUUGAAGUCGCUUAGACUGGCCUGCCUCUUCAUUCACCCACCUCAUUGACAAUGCACGUAAGAGCGAAUUCUAUUCUAGCUGACCCAAGUAAGAUGAGAGGAGUGGUCUGGGAUAAACUUGGCCUGCACUCUCAACAGAGAGAGGGGGUGGGUGUUAAGCUGGGGGGCAGACCUGUUCUUGCUGGAGCCAGAUGGCAGGCCAGAGAGCAGGAACCCUCUGAUAGUAGUCCUCUGCAACCGUGUCAGCUCCCUGCCUUGGUCUCCGCCCUGAGAGUCCCCGACUCUUAUCGUAACUUUCCAGUGUCUUGCUAGUUUCCCAAGAUGAGCAUGCCACACCUCAAAUAAGCUGUUUGUCUCCAUGACACAAGGCUCUUGGUUCAUCUAGGGGAUGAAUAUUUAUGAAACCUCUAUAAGGCUGGAGGGUGGAGGUGCUAGACACAAAAAGAUCUGGGCCCGCAAGGAUCUUCCAAGAACAGCACGGGGUGGAUGCGCUCCCAGUCCCCUCCGCCUGCUCUCUGUUCCUACCCACAAAGGUUCUCUUUAAACCAACCCAGUUCCUUCUUUUAACUCUGCACGCAGUGGGUGGAGUCUGACCUCCUUAAGUCCCUAAGGGCUGUUUGGCUGGGUGGGUUGAGACACAGCCAAACAAAUGUUCUUUACCAUUCCUGUGAAAGGAAGGAAUGAUUCAUAGGUUGCACUGGGCAGAUCAGCUGGUUCCUGUCUAUAGCCUAAUCAAUCCUGGGUAGCGGGGAAUUAACCAGGGCAGCCUUCCAUGUCCCUGGCUCUUGGGCGCAGGAGGACACAGAAGUCAGUGGCUUCUGGAAGGACAAGCUGAGAGACAGACGCCAGCACGGCUCACAUCUCAUACUGGCAUUUUGUCUUGAGCUCUGGAAUCUCAGGUGGCCUGGGCUUCCCCCUCCUCCAGACUCACAUUUGAGAACCACUGUUCCCUGAGUCCCUUGGGUUCCAUUUCUUUGGGGCUCGCUCUCUUUGUUUAUUUCCGUCAAAAGAAACAUCUCACCUAUUAUUAAAAGUGUAAUCUAAACCAUAUAAAAGUGUAAUCUAGACCACUCAGAAAUGGCAAAAGAAAUGUGGAAAGAAAUUUGAAAACCACACAUAAACCGGUUCCCUGAAGACAACCUCAAGGUUUGGGACAUUUUAUUUGAAUCCUAUUUUUAUCUGCCUUUCAUCUCUUGAAUCCUUUCUCAAAACAACGCUAAGUGAAAUAAACCGGUUAAUAAGACCAGGGCUGCACAGCCCCACAUCCAUGAGGCAGGAAGAGCAGAUGGGAUGGGAGGCAAGCAAGUUCCUUCAAAGCUGCCAGAGGGGAGGAAGAUGGCGAGCUGUUUCGGUGGGAGACGAGUUUUCGGGAUGAGUCACGAGUAGCUCUGGAAAGCCGUCAUGAGACCACAGAUGGAGUCUACAGUACUAUCCUGAAAACAGCCAGUGGGAUGGAUAACUCAUUCAUGGCGCCACAUUUUUCUUCAAGCCACAUAGUUGAAAGUGUCAUGUUCUGCUUCUGCAAGGCUGCGCUACCAGCCUUGUAUAAGGCAAUAAAACCCACCUUCUUCAC
rnacentral:lncRNA from 1 species